AAACGCACGCGGGAAGAGCUGCUACCCAUUCCAGGGACCCUGCCGCUGCCCCUCUGAGGGGUCUGCACCUCCUGGGAGCAGGUGGGUCUCUGGGACGAGGGUCCAUGGUGGAUGGCUCUGGAGACGCUCCCGAGGCUGUGCCGUCCCGCUGCUGCACAGGUCGGAGGGUCACCGCAGAGGCUACUCGGGCUGGGGCUGGGGCCGAGGGAGCCCGCACUGGAGGGUCUCGCUCUGUUGCCCAGUGGCCUGACCAUGGCUCACUGCAGCCUCCAACUACUGGCCUCAAGUGAUCCUCUUGCCUUGGCCUCCUGAAGUCCUGGAAUUACAGGCGUGAGCCACUGCACCGGGCCCAUUUAAUACUCUGAGCCCCACCUUUCCCAUCUGUGGAUGGAGGUAAUGAUAAUAGCAUCUUUGGGGUGUGGCUGUGAAGAUAGAUAGAUGAGCAUGCAAAGCUCCAAGUGCCUGCUGAAUUCCCCAUGUGGAACCCAAGGAUGCAGCUGCUCUGCUAACACGGCAGCCCAU
rnacentral:lncRNA from 10 species